CGGUGGAGCAUGUGGUUUAAUUCGAUGCAACGCGAAGAACCUUACCUACUCUUGACAUCCUGCGAACUUGUGAGAGAUCACUUGGUGCCUUCGGGAGCGCAGAGACAGGUGCUGCAUGGCUGUCGUCAGCUCGUGUUGUGAAAUGUUGGGUUAAGUCCCGUAACGAGCGCAACCCUUGUCCUUAUUUGCCAGCGGGUAAUGCCGGGAACUCUAAGGAGACUGCCGGUGACAAACCGGAGGAAGGUGGGGACGACGUCAAGUCAUCAUGGCCCUUACGAGUAGGGCUACACACGUGCUACAAUGGCCGGUACAAAGGGUUGCGAGCUCGCGAGAGUCAGCUAAUCCCGAAAAGCCGGUCUCAGUCCGGAUCGGAGUCUGCAACUCGACUCCGUGAAGUCGGAAUCGCUAGUAAUCGUGAAUCAGAAUGUCACGGUGAAUACGUUCCCGGGCCUUGUACACACCGCCCGU
rnacentral:rRNA from 1 species